AUGUCUCAAAGGUACCUUGCAAUUCACAGAGCCGCCUUCACACCAGCUGCACACAGCCUCCUGUUGGCUUGUUCCUGGGGCUUAAACCUAACUGAGCAGUGUUGUUCUAAGUUGCAGAGAUCAAAGACCUGGACAGCAACCUUUACCCCAUUGGCCAGAGCAACAUCAGCAAGUCAGGCAGAGGGUGUGUGCGGUUUAUUGAAGAGAUGCACAGCUGGUGACUGCAUCUGCAGAGCUGAGAACAACUGGAUCUUGUUCACACUCAGGCAGAGGAAGACUCCUGGGGUGAAGCCACACCUCCUUCUAGCCUGA
rnacentral:lncRNA from 1 species